CAGGCGGUGACAGACACACACAGUAACACACUCACUGACACACACACACACUGCUACUCACUAGCAGACACACACUCAAUAACAGACACAAACAUACUAACACACACAGUAACACACACACACAAAAACUAACUCACUAGCAGACACACACAAACUAACACACUCAGUAACAGACACACUGACACACAAAAACUAACACACUCACACUAACACAC